AAAAAAUUUGAAUGUAGGUAAUGGAUUAGGAAUAUAUAGUAUAAUUUAAAUUUAUUCUUAGAAUAGAAUUGUACAGGCUAAAUUAAUUCAAAUUUUAAUAGUAAAAUUAAUUUUUUAAAAUAAUGAGAUCGUGUAUUAUAAUUUAAAAUAUAAGCUGAAAAUAAAUUUAAAGUUUAGAAACUAAAAAUAAUUUGAAAGUUUUCUUAUAUGAAACAACGAAAUAUCUAUGCACGGACAGGAAAGAUAGAAAAAGAAAAAAGAAACAAAGCGAGAAGAGAGAUUUUGAUAGUAUAGUGAUAGUAAAAUUAUUUAAUUACCCACGUAUUAAAAGACCAAAUAUUUUUUUUAAGAUACGUGAUAAUCGGUACCUCUCUUAAAAUGACCUAUUAUUGCAUAUCACAACUUCAAAAAAAUUAAAUUUAAGCCGUAAAAUAUGAAUGAAUGAACGGUAUCAAAAAAAAU
rnacentral:lncRNA from 1 species